CCUACGGGGCGCAGCAGUGAGGAAUAUUGGUCAAUGGACGAGAGUCUGAACCAGCCAAGUAGCGUGAAGGAUGACUGCCCUAUGGGUUGUAAACUUCUUUUAUAAAGGAAUAAAACGAGGCACGUGUGCCUUUUUGCAUGUACUUUAUGAAUAAGGAUCGGCUAACUCCGUGCCAGCAGCCGCGGUAAUACGGAGGAUCCGAGCGUUAUCCGGAUUUAUUGGGUUUAAAGGGAGCGUAGAUGGGUUGUUAAGUCAGUUGUGAAAGUUUGCGGAUCAACCGUAAAAUUGCAAUUGAUACUGGCAGUCGUGAGUACAGUUGAGGUAGGCGGAAUUCGUGGUGUAGCGGUGAAAUGCUUAGAUAUCACGAAGAACCCCGAUUGCGAAGGCAGCUUACUAAACUGUGACUGACAUUGAUGCUCGAAAGUGUGGGUAUCAAACAGGAUUAGAUACCCUUGUAGUC
rnacentral:rRNA from 1 species